rnacentral:rRNA from 1 species
GACGAACGCUGGCGGCGUGCCUAAUACAUGCAAGUAGAACGCUGAAGCGAGGAGCUUGCUCUUCUUGGAUGAGUUGCGAACGGGUGAGUAACGCGUAGGUAACCUGCCUUGUAGCGGGGGAUAACUAUUGGAAACGAUAGCUAAUACCGCAUAACAAUGGAUGACGCAUGUCAUUUAUUUGAAAGGGGCAAUUGCUCCACUACAAGAUGGACCUGCGUUGUAUUAGCUAGUAGGUGAGGUAAUGGCUCACCUAGGCGACGAUACAUAGCCGACCUGAGAGGGUGAUCGGCCACACUGGGACUGAGACACGGCCCAGACGCCUACGGGAGGCAGCAGUAGGGAAUCUUCGGCAAUGGGGGCAACACUGACCGAGCAACGCCGCGUGAGUGAAGAAGGUUUUCGGAUCGUAAAGCUCUGUUGUAAGUCAAGAACGGGUGUGAGAGUGGAAAGUUCACACUGUGACGGUAGCUUACCAGAAAGGGACGGCUAACUACGUG